CAAGGUCUAAUGAGAGUACUUUGUGACAGAUCAUAGGGCAGAAGCCUUAGAGAGUUGUGAUAUAUGUAGGGAAAGGAGACAAAAUGGAGGCAGUGCUUAUAGACAACACUUUAAGGAACUUUGGGGAGAAAUGAGAUGACUGUUAUUGAACCUGCAUGGUGUUUGUUUCUAAUCUGGAAAGAGUUAAAGUUAUUAAGAAGGGCGUAAGAUCUAAAAUAAUUAUAGGGCCUGAGAAAUAAUGAGGGAUUACAUCAACGAAUGCAACAGAAAGAAGAGGAAAGGAUGGUGGAGAACAUAACAGAACUUAACAGGAAAGGGUGGUGGAGAACAUAACAGAGAAACAAAUGGAGAAGACAGGGGUGUCAAGAGUUUACCCA
rnacentral:lncRNA from 10 species